GGGAAGAGGAAGCUGAGGAGCUGCACUAGUGGCAAAGAGAGGAAGAGAAUGCGGGGCAGAUACUGUCCUUUUUACACACGUCCAGCAGGGAAAGCAUGUACCAGGAUCUGGAGAAACCAUGAGUUCCCGAAGCAGCAAGAGUUGCUUUGUCAGACCACCUGUUCCUGAAGUACAGACUGCUGGGCAUAAGAAAUGUUCCAGGAUCAGAGGAGCAAAGAGUACAAAAAGGAAAACUGAGGACAUUGCAGAAAUGUGGAAGAGGCACACAUCAUACAGAGGAAUGCAGUAAGGCAAUCAAAGGCAACUAAUAUUCUUUUUCUACACUUGUGGAAAGAGGCAGAACUGCAAAACUUGCUUUCCUGAGAGUUUGCAUGAUGGAUAACUGCAUUCACAUUAAAGGUGGGGAGAUACCAAAGAGCACAGAGAGACCAAAAUUGAAUAAAGUCUCAGUGAAGAAAUACCUUCACAGAUUACAUAGGUCUUCUUGAUAUGCAAAAUUACUUUAUGCAGAAUGACAGGAAUUAUAGUGAAAAAUGGUUCAGAUAUCAUACUGUGUCAGCUGCGAAACAAUGAAGAAGGAAAAGCAUCCAUCAGCCCACUUACUGCUACUCUUGGAGGCUACGGCUGCUAUGAGUUUCGUUUUUUUAUGGGCAUAUAUGUUCUACCUUGCAUUUGUCUACAUUUGGCAGGUUUAAAGAUCUGUGUGGAUCCACAGGACCAGUUCCUGUGUAGGAACUAGUCACAAAACUAUCCACCUACAAAGAGAGUCCUGUGAAUGUACCUACUGUUCCAAAUAAAGGGUGUUCCAGACAA